rnacentral:rRNA from 1 species
AUUGAACGCUGGCGGAAUGCUUUACACAUGCAAGUCGAACGGCAGCACGGACUUCGGUCUGGUGGCGAGUGGCGAACGGGUGAGUAAUACAUCGGAACGUGCCCAAUCGUGGGGGAUAACGUAGCGAAAGCUACGCUAAUACCGCAUACGAUCUAAGGAUGAAAGCGGGGGAUCGCAAGACCUCGCGUGAUUGGAGCGGCCGAUGGCAGAUUAGGUAGUUGGUAGGGUAAAGGCCUACCAAGCCGACGAGCUGUAGCUGGUCUGAGAGGAUGAUCAGCCACACUGGGACUGAGACUCGGCCCAGACUCCUACGGGAGGCAGCAGUGGGGAAUUUUGGACAAUGGGCGCAAGCCUGAUCCAGCCAUUCCGCGUGCAGGACGAAGGCCUUCGGGUUGUAAACUGCUUUUGUACGGAACGAAAAGGCUCUGGUUAAUACCUGGGGCUCAUGACGGUACCGUAAGAAUAAGCACCGGCUAACUACGUGCCAGCAGCCGCAGUAA